rnacentral:rRNA from 1 species
UACGGAGGGUGCGAGCGUUGUCCGGAAUCAUUGGGCGUAAAGGGCGCGUAGGUGGCGGCUUAAGCGUGCGGUGAAAGCUCGGGGCUCAACCCCGAGUCGGCCGUGCGAACUGAGUCGCUUGAGCACUGUAGAGGCAGGCGGAAUUCCGGGUGUAGCGGUGGAAUGCGCAGAUAUCAGGAGGAACACCGGUGGCGAAGGCGGAUCUCUGGGCCGAUACUGACGCUGAGGAGCGAAAGCGUGGGGAGCGAACAGG